CCUACGGGAGGCAGCAGUGGGGAAUCUUGCGCAAUGGGCGAAAGCCUGACGCAGCGACGCCGCGUGAGUGAUGAAGGCCUUCGGGUUGUAAAGCUCUGUGGAGGGGGAAGAAUAAGGCUAGCCCAACACGCUAGCCGAUGACGGUACCCCUUUAGCAAGCACCGGCUAACUCUGUGCCAGCAGCCGCGGUAAGACAGAGGGUGCAAACGUUGUUCGGAAUUACUGGGCGUAAAGCGCGUGUAGGCGGCUUGGCAAGUCGGGUGUGAAAGCCCUGGGCUCAACCUAGGAAGUGCACUCGAAACUGCUUCGCUUGAGUAUCGGAGAGGAAAGCGGAAUUCUCGGUGUAGAGGUGAAAUUCGUAGAUAUCGAGAGGAACACCGGUGGCGAAGGCGGCUUUCUGGACGGUUACUGACGCUGAGACGCGAAAGCGUGGGGAGCAA
rnacentral:rRNA from 1 species